rnacentral:tRNA from 1 species
GCCGCUCUAGCCCAACGGCAGGAGGCACCAGGUUCAGGGUCUGGACAGUCAGGGUUCGAAUCCCUGGGGCGGCAC